GAUAAGCCCGCGGCCUAUCAGCUAGUUGGUGAGGUAACGGCUCACCAAGGCUAAGACGGGUAGCUGGUCUGAGAGGACGACCAGCCACACUGGAACUGAGACACGGUCCAGACACCUACGGGUGGCAGCAGUCGAGAAUUUUUCACAAUGGGCGCAAGCCUGAUGGAGCGACGCCGCGUGGGGGAUGAAGGGCUUCGGCCCGUAAACCCCUGUCAUUUGCGAACAAACCUUGCUAUUUAAAAGAUGGCGAGUUGAUGGUAGCGAAAGAGGAAGGGACGGCUAACUCUGUGCCAGCAGCCGCGGUAAUACAGAGGUCCCGAGCGUUGUUCGGAUUCACUGGGCGUAAAGGGUGCGUAGGUGGUGAGGUAAGUCGGAUGUGAAAGCUCCGAGCUCAACUCGGAAAUGGCAUUGGAAACUACCUUGCUGGAGGGUUUGAGGGGGGACUGGAAUUCUCGGUGUAGCAGUGAAAUGCGUAGAUAUCGAGAGG
rnacentral:rRNA from 1 species